rnacentral:rRNA from 1 species
AUUGAACGCUGGCGGCAGGCUUAACACAUGCAAGUCGAGCGGGGUGAUGGUGCUUGCACUAUCACUUAGCGGCGGACGGGUGAGUAAUGCUUAGGAAUCUGCCUAUUAGUUGGGGACAACAUCUCGAAAGGGAUGCUAAUACCGCAUACGUCCUACGGGAGAAAGCAGGGGAUCACUUGUGACCUUGCGCUAAUAGAUGAGACUAAGUCGGAGUAGCUAGUUGGUGGGGUAAAGGCCUACCAAUGCGACGAUCUGUAGCGGGUCUGAGAGGAUGAUCCGCCACACUGGGACUGAUACACGGCCCAGCAUCCUACGGGAGGCAGCAGUGGGGAAUAUUGGGCAAUGGGGGGAACCCUGAUCCAGCCAUGCCGCGUGUGUGAAGAAGGCCUUAUGGUUGUAAAGCACUUUAAGCGAGGAGGAGGCUCGUUUGGUUAAUACCCAAGAUGAGUGGACGUUACUCGCAGAAUAAGCACCGGCUAACUCUGUGCCAGCAGCCGCAGUAA